ACACACUCACGCUUGGACUUCAAUUGUUUGUUCCAUUAAAACCAUGGUGUGCCAUUAUUAAAAGAAAUUUCACUUAUUUAUUGUAGCUCCACUGUCCCAAUUUGGGGAAGAAUAAAGAAACGAGGACGCCACAGUCCUCUACAGCUCCACUUUCCCAAAUGAAAUCUUUCUUGGUGAAUUGUAGGGUAAUUUGAUUUUUGUUAUUGAGAUUAUAAGUUAAAAGAAGGAUGGCUUACCAAAGGAGGGGAUCAGACCUCCAACCACAGAGGCAUAUUCUGCGGACACAGGCUGCUGGUAAUCUAGGGGAGUCUAUGAUGGACAGUGAGGUGGUGCCAUGUUCACUGGUAGAGACUGCACCAAUUCUCCGUGUUGCCAGUGAGGUUGAGCCAAUUAAUCCCGGGGUUGCUUAUCUCUUUGACUAGUACUCAAGAUUUUGAGGCCAUGUAUUUACACCAUAAUACAUACUCUAAUGGCCUUGCUGGGGGACUCAGGUCGAUUCUAUGCCUUUGAGAAAGGUCACCGUUUGGAUCCAACAUCAAAUGGAUGACGAGUCCAUCAGUUCGAAACAGCCUUGAUUCAACGUUUGGAAAGGGAAAAUGAUACAACAUUAGCUGGAAGGACAAAGAGUGAUGCUCCAGAAAUGCAGAGUUUCUAUCAGCACUACUACAGGAAGUAUAUUCAGGCGUUGCAGAAUGCUGCUGAUAAAGCUGAUCAGUAGGUUAUCUGCAGUUGUGGGCAUUAAUUUCUUAAUAGCUAAGUGCAGAUUCCUUGCUUAAUGAUUCUUUAUGAUCUCCUAAUCUGUCCAGUGCCCAACUCACAAAAGCAUACCAAACUGUUGUACUUUUUGAGGUCUUGAGGGCCGUUAAUUUGACAGAAUCAGUUGAAGUGGCCGAUGAGAUGCUCUACUUUCUUUCCUUGUAGGUCAUAGAUAAUCUUGAUUGUACAGGAAAGUAUACUGGCAAUUUGCAGACGAAGUCUUUUCUAUGCAUCUGCUUGAGGAGGUUUCAUCCUGUUAGUUGCU